GUCGAUCGCUGUCGGCGUGCUUAACACAUGCAAGUCGAACGGUGAUGAGUGCUUGCACCUUGAUCAGUGGCCAACGGGUGAGUAACACGUGAGCAACCUGUCCCCGACUCUGGGAUAACCCCGGGAAACCGGAGCGAAUACCGGAUAUCAGGCGCCCGAGCAUCCGGGCGUCCGGCUAGAGUUUCGGUCGGGGAUGGGCUGGCGGCCUAGCAGCUGGUUGGGGGGGUAAUUGCCUAACAAGGCGACGACGGGUAGCCGGCCUUAAAGGGCGACCGGCCAUACUGGGAGUGGGACGCGGCCCAGACUCCGACGGGGGGCAGCAGUGGGGAAUAUUGCACAAUGGGCGCAAGCCUGAUGCAGCGACGCCGCGUGAGGGAGGAAGGCCUUCGGGUUGUAAACCUCUUUCAGCAGGGAAGAAGCGCAAGUGACGGUACCUGCAGAAGAAGCGUCGGCUAACUACGUGCCAGCAGCCGCGUAACAC
rnacentral:rRNA from 1 species